rnacentral:rRNA from 1 species
ACCUGGCCACUGAAUAUUUUAAAUGGCCGCAGUAUAUUGACUGUGCAAAGGUAGCAUAAUAAUUAGUUUUUUAAUUAAAAGCUUGUAUGAAAGGUUGGACGAAGUAAAUUCUGUCUCUAUUUAAUUUAAAGUAGAAUUUAAUUUUUAAGUUAAAAAGCUUAAAUUUUAUUAAAAGACGAGAAGACCCUAUAGAUCUUUAUAAAUUAUUAUUUGAAUUUAAUAUAGUAUUAUUUAUUAUUCAUUUAAUGAUUUAUUUUAUUGGGGUAAUAAAAAGAUUAAAUUAAUUCUUUUAUGUUAUUAACAUUAAUUUAUGAAUUAUUGAUCCAAUUUUAUUGAUUAAAAGAUUAAGUUACCUUAGGGAUAACAGCGUAAUUUUUUUUGAGAGUUCAUAUCGAUAAAAAAGUUUGCGACCUCGAUGUUGGAUUAAAAAUUAUCUUAGGUGCAGAAGUUUAAGAUUUUGGUCUGUUCGACCAUUAAAUUUU